UAGAGGCUGGAAAAGAGGUGGAGAGUGCAGGAAAAUGCAAAGGUUAAAAAAUAAUAAUAAUAAUUAAAACAAAAAAAUGGGUGGGCUGAAAGAGAGAUGAGGCUGAAAAAAAGGCUGGAGGCCAACAAAAGGGUGAGAUGCCCCAAAGAGGUGGGAGGGUGGAAAAGCGGGGAGGCUGAGAAAUGGGGGAGGCCUAUAAGGGAGGGGAGGACACAGAAGUGUGGGAGGCUGAAAGGUGUUGGGAGACCAGAGAGAGUGGGGUCCAAAAGGGGCUGGGAGGCCAGCAGGUAACAGAAAGCCAAAAAUUAAAAAUAAAAUCCCACAACCGUUGGAGCUCAGGAAAAGCGGAGGCUGAAAUGGGGCGGGAGGCUGAGGAGCGGCGGUCGGGCUCCGCAGGACCGGGUCUGUAAUCCCCGUCUCUGUUUCAUCUCCCGGCCCCGCCGUGCCGUAGCGCCGGGCGGGCACUAGAGGACAGCCGAGCUCCACGGAACGGCCGCGAGGAGCCCGCAGCAUCGCCGCUGCCCCGCGCACCACUGCGGCCCCAAACCCACCGGGGGCUCACACCCCUCCCAGACCCAAAGGCGGAUGGGUCGGGGGCUGCCUGCAAACACACCACCAAAACUGGGAGCGUUACUUGAGGAAGCUGCUGAGAAGGUUCCCACUCAUGGCUCUGCCCCGGAGCUGCUGCCGUUGCAUAGCAAAUAUGGGAAAUGCUUCAUUUCUCCUUCGUUUCAGGUCAGACAGGGUGGGGUGGGGACCUUGGGGCUGCAGAGCUGCAGCAAGCCCUGGUGCUGGGAGCUGCUGCCUGCUUUGAAAUCGAGGAAGAAGAAAAGGAGAUGGGAAAUCCCAGGUGUGGAGGUGCGCCUGGAGCCUCCAUGUUGUGCCACUGCUGGAGCGUGGCUCUUCCAAAUGCACUCACGCAUGGAUGCACGCUCAGUAAGCCCACGAGUGGGGGACCCGUAGCGUCCCUGGGGUAACCCCAAGGCACAGUCCCAUAGUCCAGCAAAAUCACAGCAGGAUAAGAAUCAGAGAGGGGAAAAUGCUGCAGCAACAGGCGCAGUGUGAGAGACACCCCGUGCAGAAGUGCCCUCUCCUAUGCCUGCUGUGCUGAAGAACCCUGCAGGCAAAGGGCCCCCGGCUGCACGGCCUGGCGGGGGGUGUGGGGACCUCCAUGGGCGGGGGUUGGGGUGCGUGGGGUGAGAGGAGCAGCUGUGUUUACUUUCCAUCUGCUGGAGGGAACAACAGGGGAUUUUUGUGUGUGUGUGUGUGUUUUAUUCUCUUCUUUUUUUUUUUUUUCUUCUUUUUGGAGGCUUUGUGUGUCCUUCACCAGCAAGAAACCAUCAUGUAAACAUCCGCUGCUCUACCAGGAAGGGAGCACGGAUGUGGGGCUGUGGGGAUGCUGAAGGCGUCCUGCAUCCCCCCGGCACACACCUGCGGCCGGGUGGCAGCGGAGGCUGUGCUGUCCCCUCACAGUGACCAACAGGGAGCUGUGCUCAUGGGGUUCCCCUGAUCCCUUGGGAUGAGGGAUGCAGGGGGCAGCAGGACGCAGACCUUCACCCCGUGAGCAUUUCUGAUCUCUGUGCUGUGCCAGUGUGUGUGGGGGAGGGGAGCACAGGUGCUGCCUCUGCCAAGGCUCAAUCAGAGGGUUUGUUCCAAGCUGUGGCCAGCCUGAUUAACGUGGGCAGCCUCUGCUGGGAUGCUGAUUUCAGAGCCUGCAGCUGAGAGCAAAUUUCUGGCUAUUACGCACUUAAAAUAGUUUGGGUUCUGGUGGGAUUAUCUGUGUCCGGGGAAACGGAGCAGUACCUGUGUGGGACCGAUGCUCACAGCAGGCAGUGGGACUGCGGGUGUCCGACGGCUGUGGGACGGAGCUGUGGCUCAGCGGCACGGCAGCAUCGGCUGGGGGAGGUGGGACCUUUGGCUGGCCCUGAGCGUCAUCGUCUCCAGCGAGGAGGAGAGGAAGCAUCUGACUUGGAGCAGACAUUACCCUCCGACCCCCGCGCCCAGGCCGGCUGUUGAGUCAUUUAACACCCUCCCUUUGGCCGAGGGGCUGAAGAAGCCUGUGGGCAGGCAGUGCUGCUCUCCAGCUGCCUCCUGCAGAGGGGAAGGGGCUGCGGUGCUGCCGGGCUGGGCAAGGACGAGGACAUGUCCGGACAUGCCGAGCUGUACUCUGUUGUCCCACGGCAUCACUGCCACCAUCAGGGCGAUGCCUCCAGGGUGACACCUCAGAGCAUCCCCACUUUGGUUCCUGGGGCUGGGCUGGGGCUGCGGGGCCGUUCAGCUGUCGGUGCUGCAGCCCCAGCACCCAGCCAGGCGCAGCGGCAGCGGAGGAUUUGCUUUGUUUACUCUGCAACUUUGGCUCUGGCUGGAGUUUGUGAAGGGGUCAGGCUGAUUGGGUUGUUUUCCUGCACUUUACAAUUUCCUAUGUGGUACUUUAAUAGACGUGAGGGCGCCUGCAGCUACAGAGAGGCACUCUAUUUUAUUUUCAAAAUGGAAGUAAAUAAAGAAAUAAAUGCACCCAGCCGCCCCCCCUCCCCCCCUUAAUGCCUCGCUAUCUCUCUGCAGCCCCUCCCCAGCUUCCUCUGGCUCGGGGGAACCUCUUUUCAACCCACCACAAUAUAUAUUUUAACGAGGGCUGUUAAUUAGCCCCGGCCCCAGCCUGCUAUGUGGGGCUGUGUGGAGCGGUGUGGCAGUGGCUCUCUGCUGGGUGCAGGGAGAUGGUGGUGUGAGCCAGGGAUGCUCCACAUCACUGGGGCUCCUCGGGGAGGAGUGAUUUGAACGGGAUGGGGCAGAGGGACCUGAGAGGACAGGUGUGUGUGGAGGAUGCCAGCACGCUGCUGGGGCAAUGCGCUCCUAUUGCGGUGCAUUUAAUUGGGGCUCCCAGGAUGGAGGUGACCUUUUCUGCUGCUUUUCUCAUCCCUAUGAGCAGGCAGAGCUCUGCCCCGUGCCUGAGGUGGCCGUGCAGCGUUGGCAUUGCAGCAGCAGUGGCACGGCCCCUCGGUGGCAUCCUGGGCAGGGCGCAGGGACCUGCCGCUGAGGCUGGGCGUCGCACAAACAGCCGGGCUGCGCUUGAUAAGGUGCCAGCGGUGCCUUUCUCUGGGCUUUUCCGUGCUCUCCCGAGCCCCGAGGGCAAACAUUCCUGGCAUAUUUGUCAUGUUCAGCUCAAUACAGCAUCCUUCAGAACAGAAAAAAAAUCAAAUAAAAGAAAAUCCGGUUCUUC
ensembl:lncRNA